rnacentral:tRNA from 1 species
AUGGACGUAUAUUAAUGGUUAAAUUAUCUGUCUUCCAAACAGAAGAUUGUGGGUUCAAAUCCCAUCGUCCAUA